GGGAGUUUAGCUCAGUUGGUUCAGAGCAUCUGCCUUACAAGCAGAGGGUCAUAGGUUCGAAUCCUAUAACUCCCA
rnacentral:tRNA from 1 species